AAACGGCCGCGGUACCCUGACCGUGCAAAGGUAGCAUAAUCAUUUGUUCUUUAAAUAAGGACUCGUAUCAACGGCACCACGAGGGUUAUACUGUCUCCCCUCUCUAAUCAGUGAAACUGACCUCCCCGUGAAGAGGCGGGGAUAAAAAUACAAGACGAGAAGACCCCAUGGAGCUUUAAACCCAAUAACAACCCCUUUUAAAAACAUCAAAAAAACUCUACGGUAAUGUUUAUUGGUUUUAGGUUGGGGUGACCACGGAGCAAAACAUAACCUCCUUGACGAAUUGAUUUCAUCCUAAUCCAAGAGCCACUGCUCUAAGAAUCAAAAAUUUGACGUAAUAUGAUCCGGCAACCGAUCAACGAACCAAGUUACCCUGGGGAUAACAGCGCAAUCCAUUUCAAGAGCCCCUAUCGACAAAUGGGUUUACGACCUCGAUGUUGGAUCAGGGUAUCCCAGUGGUGCAGCCGCUACUAAAGGUUUGUUUGUUCAACAAUUAAAACCCUACGUGAUCUGAGUUCAGACCGGA
rnacentral:rRNA from 1 species